CACCAGAGGAGGGGAGAAUGAGCCUGCAAGAGCAGCAGAGAGUGGGCAGACAGCGUGCAGGACUGGCUCAGGGAGAAGCAGGCAUUCCCUCAUUCCCAUUACUUACAGGGCAACUGGGCCUGUGCUGGGAGGUGGGUGUGUAGCCUAGAGCAAAACAGCUGGAUCCCCCACCUGUGCCACAGCUGCAUUCCAGAGGAGGGAGGUGGAGGAGAAACUGGAUAAACAAGAGGAUAAUUUCUAGAAAGUUCUAGGUAGGAAGAAAGAGGGGUUGGCCAGGGAGGGCCUCUGUGAACUGGGGCCUGGAACAGAGAAGACUGUGGAUCGAGCUGGGGGAGCGGCACGUGCAAAGGUCCUGGGGCAGCAGAGUGGGGUGUUGCAGGGGUGAGGCUAGUGUGGUUGUGAGAGGAAAGAAAGGUGCAAGAGGGGCUGGGGGCUGAGCUGGGGUGCACAGCUCUGAAGUCGUUCUGCUGAGAGAGUUGGAGCCCUGGAGGGUUCUGUGGAAAGCCUGUCCUGGAAGAGCAAGAGCAAAGGCAGAAGGACCUGCUGCAGACAGCAGUGGUGGACAGUGUGGACCGAGAGACCCAGGGUGCCCUCUGUCUCUCUUCUCCACACUGCUAUGGACCCUCUGACCCAGAAACCCAAAUACCAGCUGGAAAUGGAGCAGAAGGGGAAACUGAGGCCUUGAGAGGACACUGUGCCCCGUGAUGGCCCCAGAAAGCAGAUAUCCGUGCAGAGCGUGUGCACAUCUGUGUUCAUGGCAGCCACAGUCACAGCAGCCCAAGAAAAGAACAACGCGUUCACCAGGGUGAAUACAGAAGAAGAUGUGGCUCCCUGAAGACGGAUCAUUACUUGGUUAGGAAAGAGACAGCUACCGUAGCAAUGUGGAGAGUCGCCAGGACGCCAAGCACACUGAAGGGCACACAAGGUCACAUGCUGUAUGGCAGCGUCUGUCAUCUGUGAGCGAUAUGUCCUACAAAAACCCAGUAGAGGCCAA